GGAGGGUGCGAGCGUUGUCCGGAAUCAUUGGGCGUAAAGGGCGCGUAGGUGGCGGGACAAGCGUGCGGUGAAAGCCUGGGGCUCAACCCCGGGUCGGCCGUGCGAACUGUUUUGCUUGAGCACUGUAGAGGCAGGCGGAAUUCCGGGUGUAGCGGUGGAAUGCGUAGAGAUCCGGAAGAACACCGGUGGCGAAGGCGGCCUGCUGGGCAGUAGCUGACACUGAGGCGCGACAGCGUGGGGAGCAAACAGGAUUAGAUACCCUGGUAGUCCACGCCGUAAACGAUGGGCACUAGGCGCUUGGGGGAGCGACCCCCCGAGGGCCGGCGCUAACGCAUUAAGUGCCCCGCCUGGGGAGUACGGCCGCAAGGCUG
rnacentral:rRNA from 1 species